AGUGAACGCUGGCGGCAGGCCUAACACAUGCAAGUCGAGCGGCAGCACGGGUAGCAAUACCUGGUGGCGAGCGGCGGACGGGUGAGGAAUACAUCGGAAUCUGCCUUGUUGUGGGGGAUAACGUAGGGAAACUUACGCUAAUACCGCAUAAGACCGAGAGGUGAAAGCGGGGGAUCGAAAGACCUCGCGCGACAAGAUGAGCCGAUGUCGGAUUAGCUAGUUGGCGGGGUAAAGGCCCACCAAGGCGACGAUCCGUAGCUGGUCUGAGAGGAUGAUCAGCCACACUGGAACUGAGACACGGUCCAGACUCCUACGGGAGGCAGCAGUGGGGAAUAUUGGACAAUGGGCGCAAGCCUGAUCCAGCCAUGCCGCGUGGGUGAAGAAGGCCUGGUU
rnacentral:rRNA from 1 species